rnacentral:rRNA from 1 species
AGGUGGUGCAUGGUUGUCGUCAGCUCGUGUCGUGAGAUGUUGGGUUAAGUCCCGCAACGAGCGCAACCCUUGUCUUUAGUUGCCAUCAUUAAGUUGGGCACUCUAAAGAGACUGCCGGUGUCAAACCGGAGGAAGGUGGGGAUGACGUCAAGUCCUCAUGGCCUUUAUGACCAGGGCUACACACGUACUACAAUGGCAGGUACAAAGGGCAGCCACUUAGCGAUAAGGCGCGAAUCCCAUAAAACCUGUCUCAGUCCGGAUUGGAGUCUGCAACUCGACUCCAUGAAGUUGGAAUCGCUAGUAAUCGCAGAUCAGCACGCUGCGGUGAAUACGUUCCCGGGCCUU